rnacentral:ncRNA from 1 species
GAGGUUAUUGGUAAAGUGCCCGCGACGGAGAGAACGGGCAGCAAGUAAAGACGCCGGUUUCCCUGUAUAAAAAUAGCUUCCUUGGGAGCUUGAGCCGCGCCAUCUCUGGCGCGGACACUUU